AGAAGUUAAAUAGCACAUGACAUACUUUUCGGCUAACCAACCAUAUGGACUUAGAUAGCAGGUAAUGGAAGAUUCAGAUUAGAAUAAAAGAUUAAUCAGCAUUAUAUUCCUGCUAAUGUAGCUAUGGAUGAAAGAAUUAUCAAUUUGGAAUUAUGAGAAACUGCAGCUUGUAAAGACUAUGGGAAAGAACUUUCCAAUACCAUCUGUGGAGUAUACAUUCCGCUACAUUAUGGAAGCCUUGGCAUGUAAUCAGGAAGUCAAAAACUUGAGCCAUA